rnacentral:rRNA from 1 species
AUUGAACGCUGGCGGCAGGCCUAACACAUGCAAGUCGAGCGGAUGACGGGAGCUUGCUCCUUGAUUCAGCGGCGGACGGGUGCGUAAUGCCUAGGAACCUGCCUGGUAGUGGGGGACAACGUCUCGAAAGGAACGCUCAUAACGCAUACGUCCUACGGGAGAAAGCAGGGGAGCUUCGGGACUUGCGCUCUCAGAUGAGCAUAGGUGGGAGUGGCUAGUAGGUGAGGUAAUGGCUCACCUAGGCGACGAUCCGUAACUGGUCUGAGAGGAUGAUCAGUCACACUGGAACUGAGACACGGUCCAGACUCCUACGGGAGGCAGCAGUGGGGAAUAUUGGACAAUGGGCGAAAGCCUGAUCCAGCCAUGCCGCGUGUGUGAAGAAGGUCUUCGGAUUGUAAAGCACUUUAAGUUGGGAGGAAGGGCAGUAAGCUAAUACCUUGCUGUUUUGACGUUACCGACAGAAUAAGCACCGGCUAACUCUGUGCCAGCCGCCGCCGUAACAC